rnacentral:ncRNA from 1 species
AAAGGAAUUGACGGAAGGGCACCACCAGGAGUGGUGCCUGCGGCUUAAUUUUACCCAACACGGGGAAACUUACCAGGUCCAGACAUAGUAAGGAUUGACAGACUGAGAGCUCUUUCUUGAGUCUAUGGGUGGUGGUGUAUUGCCGUUCUUUGUUGGGGGAGCGAUUUGUCUGGUUAAUUCCGUUAACAAACGAGACCUUAACCUACUAACUAGCUAUGCGGAGACACCCUCCGUGGCCAGCUUCUUAGAGGGACUAUGGCCGUUUAGGCCACAGAAGUUUGAGGCAAUUACAGGUUUGUGAUGCCCUUAGAUGUUUUGGGCCGCACCCGCGCUACACUGAAGUAUUCAACGAGUCUAUAGCCUUGGCCGACAGGCCCGGGUAAUCUUUGAAAAUUUCAUCGUGAUGGGGAUAGAUCAUUGCAAUUGUUGGUCUUCA